UACGUAGGGGGCUAGCGUUGUCCGGAAUCAUUGGGCGUAAAGCGCGUGUAGGCGGUCCGGUAAGUCCGCUGUGAAAGUCGGGGGCUCAACCCUCGGAUGCCGGUGGAUACUGUCGGGCUUGAGUACGGAAGAGGCGAGUGGAAUUCCUGGUGUAGCGGUGAAAUGCGCAGAUAUCAGGAGGAACACCUACGGCGAAGGCAGCUCGCUGGGACGGUACUGACGCUGAGACGCGAAAGCGUGGGGAGCAAACAGG
rnacentral:rRNA from 1 species